AUGAGGGUAAUAGCAAGAGGGCAGGCCUGGCUCUUGGGUCCUAGCUAUGGCUGCUGCCCCUUAGUUUGGUGCUGGGGCCAGCCCUGGCCUGUGUUGUGCCUCUCCUUGCUCCAGGCCUGGUCUCUCCUGGGCUCUUCAGAGCUGUGGCUUGUAUCUGAAAUGCUUCUUCACUGGAGAAAACUUCUCUGUUUCUCAUCAGAGUACAUCAAAUGCAGCACUCCUUCUGGAGUGUCUUAUCCUUUCUCUUUCCAGGAGCAUGUUACAUUUCUAGCUCUGUAAUAAUUACUUUUUACACUUAGAAUGGGUUUGAAAGUACUGUCUAAUUAUGUUAUAUGUUGCUUUCUGUGUUUUGUGUAAUAAGUUUCAUGUGCUACUGCAGAAAGUUGUCAUUGUGUUUAGUCAUGCUUGAUUCAGCAACAGAUACCGCUUCAGGAUUAAGCUGAUGUGGAAAUAAAGUAUUGGUACAUGGGGAUGCA
rnacentral:lncRNA from 1 species